AGAACUACUAGAAGCGGCCCGGACCGGGAAUGUGGUCCUGGUGGAGAAAUUACUGAGUGGGAAAAGGGGAAUCCUGGGGACAGCCUCGGGCUCCAUACCUCUGCCAAACCUACUGAGCAUGUGGAGAGGCUUGAAUGUGAACUGUGCAGACAGUUCAGGGUACACACCCCUCCACCACGCAUCACUGAACGGACACAGGGACGUGGUGUUGAAGUUGCUCCAGUUUGAAGCCUCCACCAAUGUGGCUGACAGUAAGGGCUGCUUCCCGUUGCACCUGGCCGCCUGGCGCGGGGACGUAGACAUCGUCCGUAUCCUCGUCCAC